CCAUAUUGCACUGAGGACCAUAGGGACUCAUAUCAUUUCAUUUCUCAUGGAGCUGAAAUUGGGUUUCAAAAGCAAGCUGCCACGAGUUCUACAGCUGCAAGGAAAUUACUUCUGUCAACAACCCAAGGGAGCUUGGCAGUAGACUCUUUCCGUGUUGAGUUCACCGAUGAGACAAAGCCCAGGUCAACAUCAUGAUUUCAGCUCGAAGAAAGCUAGGAGGCAGAGACUCAUAGUAAUGCAUCCAAAUCAUAUUAAACAAAGGAUCAGCAUCACCAUGAGAAAGCGCUUGUGGAUGCUCCAUUCUGAGGACAGUGAAAACUUUACAUCUCUCCUUAAAAAUGGCAGGAGACACUUAUGGGUGG